GGCUCUAUAGUGUAGUGGUUAUCACCUCGGAUUCUGAUUUGCAAAUUAGUCUUCCGGUAACCCCAGUUCGAGUCUGGGUAGGGCCU